GAUGAACGCUGGCGGCGUGCCUAAUACAUGCAAGUCGAGCGAACAGACGAUGAGCUUGCUCCUCGGACGUUAGCGGCGGGCGGGUGAGUCACACGUGUAUCACCUACCUAUCUGUCUGGUAUAACUUCGGGAAACCGGAUCUAAUACCGGAUAAUCUCUUGAACCGCAUGGUUCGAUAGUAAAUGUCGGUUUUGGUGUCUGUUAUAGAGGGAUCCGCGCGGCAUGAGCUAGUUGGUAAGGUAACGGCUUAGCAAGGCAACGAGGCGUAGCCGAACUGAGAGGGUGAUCGGCCACACGAGAGCUGAGACGCGGUCCAGGCUACUACGGGAGGCAGCAGUAGGGAAUCUGACGCAGUAGGCGAAAGCAUGGCGGAGCAGCGCCGAGUGAGUGAUGAAGGUCUUCGGAGCGUAAAACCCUGUUAUUAGGGGAGAACAAAUUUGGAAGUAACUAUGCACGUAUUGACGGUAACGAAUAAGAAAGCAACGGCUAACUACGUG
rnacentral:rRNA from 1 species